rnacentral:misc_RNA from 1 species
GAUGAAGAACGUAGCGAAAUGCGAUAACUAAUGUGAAUUGCAGAAUUCCGUGAAUCAUCGAGUCUUUGAACGCACAUUGCGCCCCCUGGUAUUCCGGGGGGCAUGCCUGUCCGAGCGUCAUUGCUGCCCAUCAAGCACGGCUUGUGUGUUGGGUCCUCGUCCCCCCCGGGGGACGUGCCCGAAAGGCAGCGGCGGCACCGCGUCCGGUCCUCAGCGUAUGGGGCUUUGUCACCCGCUCUGCAGGCCCGGCCGGCGCUGGCCGACGCGAAAGCAACCAUUUUUUCUCCAGGUUGACCUCGGAUCAGGUAGGGAUACCCGCUGAACUUAAGCAUAUCAAUAAGCGGAGGA